CAUCGCGCUCCACGUCGGCCGAGGAGCACGCCUGCGCAGGGCGCGAGCGGGCAGGCAGGUGGCAGCGGGUCCAGCGCCGGGCGCGGCAGCAGUCAUGACCGAGGGCACGUGUCUGCGUCGAAGACGGGGACCCGUUAAAAUGGAACCCGCCACCGACCUCAGCCGCUGGCGGCUCAGCAAUGAGAAGGGGAGGCAGAGAUGGACAUAUCUUCAGGAGGAAGAAAGCCCUAGCCGAGAGCAGUCUGGGCUGGAAGCUCACCUCCUGGGACUGGACACGAGGAGUUACUUCAAGGAUUUGCCCAAAGCCCACACAGCGCGUGAGGGCGCUCUGAAUGGGAUGACGUUUUACACUGGCCUGCAGGCCGAGGACGGGCACUGGGCGGGUGAUUACGGAGGCCCACUCUUCCUCACGCCAGGCCUCCUGAUCGUCUGCUACACGGCGCGCAUUCCCCUGCCGGCUGGGUACAGAGAAGAGAUGAUACGAUUCCUGUGGUCUGCGCAGCUCCCCGACGGCGGCUGGGGCCUGCACAUCGAGGACAAGUCCACGGUGUUUGGAACUGUGCUGAACUAUGUGUCUUUGAGGAUUCUGGGCGUGGGGCCCGACGAUCCCAACCUGGUGCGAGCCCGGAACGUCCUCCACGCGAAAGGCGGCGCCCUCUACACGCCCUCGUGGGGGAAGUUCUGGUUGGCCGUCCUGAACGUGUACAGCUGGGAAGGCCUCAACACCCUGCUCCCGGAGAUGUGGCUCCUUCCCACCUGGAUGCCCAUGCACCCUUCCAAGCUCUGGUGCCACUGCCGGCAGGUGUACCUGCCCAUGGCCUACUGCUACAGCACCCGGCUGAGCACCGAGGAGGACCCGCUGGUCCAGAGCCUCCGCCAGGAGAUCUACGUGGAAGACUAUGGCCUCAUCGACUGGCCGGCGCACAGGAACAGUGUGGCCGCUGACGACCUGUACUCCCCGCACAGCUGGCUGCUGAACGCGCUGUACGCCGUCCUCAACUUCUAUGAGCGCCACCACAGCACCAGCCUGCGGCAGCGGGCCACCCAGGAGCUGUACGAGCACAUCGCGGCCGACGACCACUUCUCCAAGUGCAUCUCCAUCGGCCCGAUCUCGAAAACCAUCAACAUGCUGGUGCGCUGGUACGUGGAUGGGCCCGCCUCCUCCGUCUUCCAGGAGCACGUCUCCAGGAUCCCCGACUACCUGUGGCUGGGCAUCGACGGCAUGAAAAUGCAGGGCACCAAUGGCUCGCAGAUCUGGGACACCGCCUUCGCCAUCCAGGCUCUGCUGGAGGCGGGUGCACAACACAGGCCUGAGUUUUUGACCUGCCUGCAGAAGGCGCACGAGUAUCUCCGAGUCUCACAGGUCCCAGACAACUACCCCGACCACCAGAAGUACUACCGCCAGAUGAGCAAGGGCGGCUUCCCCUUCAGCACGCUGGACUGUGGCUGGAUUGUUGCCGACUGCACAGCUGAGGCCUUGAAGUCCGUCCUUCUCCUGCAGGAAAACUGUCCCUGCAUCACCCAGCACAUCCCACAAGAGCGGCUCUUCGACGCUGUCGCUGUGCUGCUGAGCAUGAGAAAUGCCGACGGAGGGUUUGCCACCUAUGAGACCAAGCGUGGGGGACACCUUCUGGAGCUUCUGAACCCCUCGGAGGUCUUUGGGGACAUAAUGAUUGACUACACGUAUGUGGAAUGCACCUCAUCUGUGAUGCAGGCGCUGAAGGAGUUCCACCAUCAGUUCCCAGACCACAGGGCUGGGGAGAUCAGGGAGACGCUUGAGCAGGGCCUGGACUUCUGUCGGCGGAAGCAGAGGGCCGACGGCUCCUGGGAGGGCUCCUGGGGCGUGUGCUUCACCUACGGCACCUGGUUCGGGCUGGAGGCCUUCGCCUGCAUGGGGCACACCUACCGCGACGGGGCUGCCUGUACGGAGGUCUCCCAGGCCUGCGACUUCCUGCUGUCCCGGCAGAUGGAGGACGGGGGCUGGGGGGAGGACUUCGAGUCCUGCAGGCAGCGGCGCUACGUGCAGAAUGCCCGCUCCCAGAUCCACAACACCUGCUGGGCCCUGAUGGGGCUGCUGGCCGUCAGGUGGGGUCGGCGAGGGGAGCCUGGUGGCCUGGGGGUGUGGUGGCCAAGCUCAGGGUGCCGGGGUGGGAGGAGGCAAGUCUGCCUGGCCAUCCAGAUGGAUCCCAAGGCGAGGUGGCAGGUCCCACGGAGAGGGCUACCCAGCAGGGCCAGCAAGGGAAGCGGGGCGGCAGCACCUCUGUCCACAGCCACACGCGCUCAGGCAGGUGCCCGCGCAACACCCCAAGGCACAGAUCCACGCAGGCCUGUGCCCGCCGUCCCAGGCUGUGCUGCUCUGUUGGGUUUGGAGCCCCUGGGAAAGCUCCCUAGACCCCUCAAAUGAGGCCAGGGCGCUGAGCGGGAGCAGCAGCGUCUACGGCCGUGAGUGGUCCUGACCAUCCAUCAAGCCUCCUGCUGUAUCUUGGGCGAGGACAGCUAAGGAUUAGCACACAUGGCCUCUGACCUCAGAGGCCCCGAGGACCAGAGGCCGGUGGGCAUGAGCCUGGCCUCCUCUCCUGGGGGACAGGAGAGCUGCACCUCGUGGCAGGGACUGCUCGCCUAGCCGCAUCACGGUCGCCUCCCACCUGCUCACCCCCGCCCUUGGGAGUCUGCCGGGCCAGCUGUUCCCUGUGGGGGUGGCGGCUUGGGUCUGUCCCUUCUGUCCUCGUGCCUGGUGAGGGUGAGGACGCAGGUUUGUCCUCAGCCGGAUGGCCUCGUCCGGAGAGGUGGUGAGGGUGCUGAGGGCCCCUCUCCCCGCAGGCACCCUGACGUGGCCGCCCUGGAGAGGGCAGUCAGCUUCCUGCUUGGAAAACAGCUGCCCAAUGGCGACUGGCCCCAGGACAGCAGCGCUGGCGUCUUCAACAAGACCUGUGCCAUCACCUACACCAGCUACAGCAACGUCUUCCCCAUCUGGGCCCUUGGGCGCUUCUCCCACCUGCACCCGGAGAGCGCCCUCGCCGGCUGCCCUUGAGAGCACGUCUGUGGGCACCUGGGGGCUGCUCCUGCAAGGUCCAGGCGAGGCUGUGGCACCUUGGCUGGGCCGGGGCGGCCCCGUCACUGCCCGCUUCAGCAGGAGGCCUGAGACAGGCCUUCGGUGGGGGGGGGGGUGGGGGUGGCUGCAGGAGCUGGAUUUUCGGUGUCGGUUUAGUUCUGGGAACAGCAGUUGAGCGCGGAUGGGGGAGGGAUGGGACGCACUGUGAUUCUGGGUAAAGUAGCGCGUUCCAAGGUCCCAGGCGGCAUGUCCGCGUCCGCGCUGUGGGCGCAGGGCAGGGAAGACCCUCUUGACCUGAGUUCCGGGGAGGGGGCAGCUGUGCCUGGUGCCCUCGAGGAGCCGGGUCUCGGGCUGAGACCUGCUGCCUCCCUGAUCAGCCCGGCGGGAGAGGCCGGACCUCUGUUCUCUGGGGCUGCUCAGGGCUCGGCAAGGAGUGGGGACCAGACCUGGUGAGUGUCCUGUGGCUGCUCAGAGUUCAGCCCGUUUGGGGGGUGCCAUCAUCACACCUCCAGAGGCUGUAGCCGUCUGGUAACGACAGAGGGGCGCCCAGGAGGCCAAGAUAACCGAGGGGGAGGGGGUGUCAGCGGCUUGACGGUCACCACGCUGGGGCACUGUUGUGUGGGGGGGCAGCUGUGCACCCCAGCCUGUCACCACCCAUUGCAGCUGGCCAGGCGGGCGUGACACCUGGGUCCCCAGGGCACCCUCCUGUCCCCUUUGUGCUCCAAGCUGAAGGGAGGUCUGGUUUUCAGGGGGCUGCCUCGCGGGCAGGGGGCCUCUGAACUCCCCCAGCUUCUACUCCCGUCUGGUUUGACGUGCGUGGACUUGGGCUCAGGAUGGAAAAACCUGGGUCCUGGAAUUGCCUCUAAGAACGAGUGGCUCCCGUGCCCAGGGCUCCCCGGGCCAUGGGGGGUCACUGAGAGCUUUGAUGAGGGUCAGACCCAGGCCCGGUGUCACCCUGGGGCCCCCUGCUUCUCGCUCACCCCAGCGCCUGCCCCCUGCUGUUCCUCGGCCACCUCCUCAGGUGACAGCAGUCUCCGGCUGCUGUCCCCAGCCAGAGUGCGCUGCUCCCGCCCUCCCAGGCGCCCGCAGUCCUCGCUCAGCCUGUGCCCUGUGGCCUUGCCCCCGCAGCAGCCCUGGCCCAGGACCGUCCCUGUGUCCCAGACAGUGCGGGGCUCGCCUGCCUCUGGCCUUCGCCUGAGCCGCCCCAGGGGCUGCCACACUGGCCUGUAGCAGGUGUCAGUUGAUGUCAACACUUUCUCUCGACGACGUUGGUUUUCACACUAGUUCGUCUUCCCGAGGGUCCCGCUGAGGUCGGGCGGGUUUGCUGGCGCACCGGCCGCUCCGGUGGUCGCCCAUCACUGCUCCUUUCGGUGGCCCUGCCCUGCCCAGCUGCCAGCCACCGCCAGCCCCCUGGACGACGCCUAGGCUUCCAGAAAAGAAAGGGGAACCUGCUUUUACACUGAGAGCCACUUAUCUGACCAGCGGCCGUAGUAAACAGGCGUCCGAGUCCCUUAGGCAGGAGCACGUCCCGCUUGUGCCUGUCUCCUGUCCGGGUUCUCAUGUGCCACGUCGGGGGCUGGCCCUCGGUCUCAGGGAACAGGUGUGACUGCUCCAGGAUAGCAGGGCGCUUCUGCUCACCUAAGGGGACAUAUUUGCCUUACCUGGUUAAAAAUCAAGCUCUCUGUCCUGGUGAAGGAGUAGAGUCUGGAGUUCGUUUUCCUCCAGCCUCUCCAGAGCAGACGGAGGGUGUGCUGGGCUCGGGAGCCCCGUCAGCUCUUCUCUGUUGACCGUGACGGAACGUUCGCUCUAAGCCUCGGAAGUGUCCUCUAACUGCAAACGCUCAGCUCACUGUGGAGACUUACUCUAAGAAAAUGCUUUUCCUUACCGAACAUAAUCAAUAUCGCUACACAGAUUUAAAUUUUAUUCAGGCAAUAAAAAUGCUCACAAAACUGA